rnacentral:rRNA from 1 species
UGGGGAAUAUUGGACAAUGGGCGCAAGCCUGAUCCAGCCAUGCCGCGUGGGUGAAGAAGGCCUUAGGGUUGUAAACCCCUUUCACCGGUGACGAUGAUGACGGUAGCCGGAGAAGAAGCCCCGGCUAACUCCGUGCCAGCAGCCGCGGUAAUACGGAGGGGGCAAGCGUUGUUCGGAAUUACUGGGCGUAAAGGGCGCGUAGGCGGUCUGUCGCGUCAGGUGUGAAAGCCCCGGGCUCAACCUGGGAGGUGCACUUGAUACGGGCGGACUGGAAUGCGGGAGAGGGUGGUAGAAUUCCCAGUGUAGAGGUGAAAUUCGUAGAUAUUGGGAGGAAUACCGGUGGCGAAGGCGACCACCUGGACGGGUACUGACGCUGAGACGCGAAAGCGUGGGGAGCAAACAGGAUUAGAUACCCCCGUAGUCC